AUCACUUCUCAGCCUUUUGGCUAAGAUCAAGUGUAAAAUCUGGUAUAUAUAUAUAUAUAUAUAUAUUUAUUUAUUUUUUUAUUUUUUAUUUUAUUUUUUUUGGUGCCCGGGAUAUCGAACUCAGGUCCUUGCGCUUGCGCAGCAGGUGGUGAAACUACUGAGCUAAAUCCCCAGCCCAAAAUCUG
rnacentral:snRNA from 1 species